GGGCCGUAUCACGUUGAAACACCAGUUUCCGUAAGAUUAGCGAAGUUAAGCAACGUCGAACCUGGUCAGUAACUAGAUGGAUGACCGCUUGGGAAUGGCAGGUGCUGUAAG